GGAUUGGUAGCUCAGUUGGUAGAGCGCUGCGUUGAAGGCGCAGGCGUCGAAGGUUCAAGCCCUUCCCGAUCCACCA
rnacentral:tRNA from 1 species